rnacentral:rRNA from 1 species
UACGUAGGGUGCAAGCGUUGUCCGGAAUUAUUGGGCGUAAAGAGCUCGUAGGCGGUCUGUCGCGUCGAAUGUGAAAAACCCGGGGCUCAACUCCGGGCUUGCAUUCGAUACGGGCAGGCUAGAGUUCGGUAGGGGAGUCUGGAAUUCCUGGGUGUAGCGGUGAAAUGCGCAGAUAUCAGGAGGAACACCGGUGGCGAAGGCGGGACUCUGGGCCGAUACUGACGCUGGAGGAGCGAAAGCGUGGGGAGCGAACAGGA